GACGAACGCUGGCGGCGUGCUUAACACAUGCAAGUCGAACGGAAAGGCCCUGCUUUUGUGGGGUGCUCGAGUGGCGAACGGGUGAGUAACACGUGAGUAACCUGCCCUUGACUUUGGGAUAACUUCAGGAAACUGGGGCUAAUACCGGAUAGGAGCUCCUGCUGCAUGGUGGGGGUUGGAAAGUUUCGGCGGUUGGGGAUGGACUCGCGGCUUAUCAGCUUGUUGGUGGGGUAGUGGCUUACCAAGGCUUUGACGGGUAGCCGGCCUGAGAGGGUGACCGGCCCCAUUGGGACUGAGAUACGGCCCAGACUCCUACGGGAGGCAGCAGUGGGGAAUAUUGCACAAUGGGCGGAAGCCUGAUGCAGCAACGCCGCGUGCGGGAUGACGGCCUUCGGGUUGUAAACCGCUUUCGCCUGUGACGAAGCGUGAGUGACGGUAAUGGGUAAAGAAGCACCGGCUAACUACGU
rnacentral:rRNA from 1 species